UCAAGUGGGUGUGUGGUCUGUCGCUCUCGGGCGCGGGUCGCACUUCCGCUUCUGUUUGAACCCAUACUUAACUUCUGAACAUACUGUGGGGACGAAAGUCCUUGCUUUGAACUAGAUAGCAACUUUCAGCAGUGGAUGUCUAGGCUCGCACAUCGAUGA
rnacentral:rRNA from 1 species